GGGUGAGUAACGCGUAGGUAACCUACCCUCGAGAUGAGAAUAACUUCGCGAAAGCGGGGCUAAUACUCAAUGACAUUCCCUAAUCACAAGGCAAGGGAAUCAAAGGUGCCUAGGAUUUCAUGCUACUGCUCGAGGAUGGGCUUGCGUCCCAUUAGCUUGUUGGUGAGGUAACGGCCCACCAAGGCGACGAUAGGUAGCCGGCCUGAGAGGGUGUACGGCCACACUGGAACUGAGACACGGUCCAGACUCCUACGGGAGGCAGCAGUGGGGAAUUUUGCGCAAUGGGCGAAAGCCUGACGCAGCAACGCCGCGUGAGUGAUGAAGGCCUUCGGGUCGUAAAGCUCUGUCAUGCGGGACGAAAUGCAUGUCCUUGAAUAAAGGAUAUGCUUGACUGUACCGCAGGAGGAAGCCCCGGCCAACUUCGUGCCAGCAGCCGCGGUAAUACGGGGGGGGCAAGCGUUAUUCGGAAUCACUGGGCGUAAAGCGCGUGUAGGCGGCCUGGCGGGUCAGGUGUGAAAUCCCUUGGCUUAACCAAGGAAUUGCGCUUGAAACUACCAGGCUUGAGUGCGGGAGAGGAAAGUGGAAUUCCCAGUGUAGCGGUGAAAUGCGUAGAUAUUGGGAGGAACACCGGUGGCGAAGGCGGCUUUCUGGACCGCUACUGACGCUGAGACGCGAAAGCUAGGGGAGCAAACGGGAUUAGAUACCCCGGUAGUCCUAGCCGUAAACGAUGGGCACUUGGUGUAGCGGGUAUCGACCCCUGCUGUGCCGAAGCUAACGCAUUAAGUGCCCCGCCUGGGGAGUACGGUCGCAAGACUGAAACUCAAAGGAAUUGACGGGGGCCCGCACAAGCGGUGGAGCAUGUGGUUCAAUUCGACGCGACGCGAAGAACCUGACCUGGGUUUGAACUGUAGGUGUAAGCUUCAGAAAUGAAGCCCUCCGCAAGGACACCUGCAGAGGUGCUGCAUGGCUGUCGUCAGCUCGUGUCGUGAGAUGUUGGGUUAAGUCCCGCAACGAGCGCAACCCUUGCCCUUAGUUACCAGCGGUUCGGCCGGGGACUCUAGGGGGACUGCCGGUGAUAAGCCGGAGGAAGGUGGGGAUGACGUCAAGUCCUCAUGGCCUUUAUGCCCAGGGCUACACACGUGCUACAAUGGUCGGUACAAAGGGUUGCGAAACCGCGAGGUGAAGCCAAUCCCAAAAAGCCGGCCUCAGUUCAGAUUGUAGUCUGCAACUCGACUGCAUGAAGGCGGAAUCGCUAGUAAUCGCGGAUCAGCAGGCCGCGGUGAAUACGUUCCCGGGCCUUGUAAGAUAAGUGCGGGAAGUGAGUUUAUUG
rnacentral:rRNA from 1 species